rnacentral:rRNA from 1 species
UACGAAGGGGGCUAGCGUUGCUCGGAAUCACUGGGCGUAAAGCGCACGUAGGCGGGCUCUUAAGUCGGUGGUGAAAUCCUGGAGCUCAACUCCAGAACUGCCUCCGAUACUGAGAGUCUUCGAGUUCGGGAGAGGUGAGUGGAACUGCGAGUGUAGAGGUGAAAUUCGUAGAUAUUCGCAAGAACACCAGUGGCGAAGGCGGCUCACUGGCCCGGUACUGACGCUGAGGCACGAAAGCGUGGGGAGCAAACAGG